GUGUGGAAUAUUGCGCAAUGGAGGCAACUCUGACGCAGCCAUGCCGCGUGCAGGAAGAAGGCGCUACGCGUUGUAAACUGCUUUUAACCGGGAAGAAACCCCAGGACGUGUCCUGGGUUGACGGUACCGGAGGAAUAAGCACCGGCUAACUUCGUGCCAGCAGCCGCGGUAAUACGAAGGGUGCAAGCGUUAUCCGGAUUCAUUGGGUUUAAAGGGUGCGUAGGCGGAGCGUUAAGUCAGUGGUGAAAUCCUGCAGCUUAACUGUAGACUUGCCAUUGAUACUGGCGCUCUUGAGUGCGCUUGAAGUGGGCGGAAUGUGCCGUGUAGCGGUGAAAUGCUUAGAUAUGGCACAGAACACCAAUUGCGAAGGCAGCUCACUAAGGCGAUACUGACGCUGAGGCACGAAAGCGUGGGGAUCGAACAGGAUUAGAUACCCGGGUAGUCC
rnacentral:rRNA from 1 species